rnacentral:lncRNA from 1 species
GGAAUUGUAUAUAGACUGUCAAUAAUAUCUUCUUUCGUAUAUAUUUUGUAAUUCACAAAAAAAAAAAAGGAUUCACAUUCCAUUAGGCGCACAGAAUCUCACAAUAUUAUUCAAAUUCUUGUACUGUUUACACAAUUUUUUAAUAAAAUAGCUGAAUCCACUUCCAAACAAUAUAAUUUUUUUAACAAUCCUAGAAAAAAUGAUUAUCAACUUGUCAGCUAGGCCUGUGAACCCCUCAUCUUGACUUGUCUUCAAACCCUGUAAAACAUAUAAAGCAAAUUCACUUAACAAAAAACUAUAAAGAUUGACAGUAGUACUCUCUACAACUAGUCACAUACAACUUGACUCUCAUAUACCGUUUAAAUUAUUAAGAUACCAAAUAGUUAUAAGUAGCUCCCACACACCUUUUGAGGAUCAUCGAACAACAUAUGUUCCUAAUCCUGAAAUUCUUCACUCCAUAAAUCAUUAUUUUUAGAUAUUGGAGUAUCAUCUCCUGCUUCAAACUUUCCUAUAUAACUUGAACAUACAUGUUGAGAUAAUAGAGUAGUCCAACGAUUUUUACUUUGAUAGAUACACAGCAAAAGCUCUAAUUACUUAGAAUCUAAUAACCUACUCUCUUUACAUUCUUUUCAUGAUAAUUAAAGUUUCAAUUAAGUUCAAUCAAGCUAAACAAUAUUUUUAUAAUGCAUAUGGGAUCUUUAUGAUAUCAAUGUACGAAACAACCAAAACAUUUAAGUAUGCUUCUUUAAGUUUUCUCUAAAUAGAUGAGAACAUGCAUUUAGUUAACUGAAGGAGCAUAGAUAAUGGUAAUUUGCAUUAAACAGACCAAUCAAGAAGUCAUCAAUAUAAUUUAUAUUAGGAUAUGAAUAAAAUAUUACUGAUCCGUACAACUUAUUAUAUUUCAUUUAUUUUUUUGGCCAUCUCCCUUAACUAGGCUCUCGCAUCUACCAUAUUAAGUUUAUCAACAAAAUAAUUCUAUAUAAACCAUGAAGCACUCAAUCCGAUAUCAACAAUGCAUAAAAAGUAUUUUAUCAACUUAUUAUUCUCUUCAUGCUCUUAAUAAAAUGAUCUAAAAGAAAAGUAUUCUAACAGAUCUACCAACCAAUGGUAACAGUGAAACAGACAUAACUGAUUUAUCAAUAUUAUAGAAACAACAGAAGUAGUGAUUAAAUCAAGACCUUCAUGAGAAAAUGAAAUUGAGUGAUAGUAGGGCUAUUCUUUAUAUGAAUUCAAGAGAACCAAAAGCCUGAAAUCUAUGAAAGCCUAAGUCUAUUAUGCAAAUCCAUUUAAAUAAAACAGAGGCAACAAAGUUAUUUAUUUGAAAAACACAAACUCCUAGGAUAAUAUUAAACACCAAAACUUUUGCAACAUUCAACAGAUCAACGUCAACAUUCUGCCAAGAACAAAAAAUGAAAAACCUAAACUAUGCCUAUAGAAUGUAAGGAAAAUAUUCAAUUAGGCAACGGUUUAAUAAUAGAAACUACUCUAUCUUCAUUCUUGCUAUAGAUCAAUCUGAAUGUGAAUUAUUCCACUUUCAUUCCUACUAUUGGUAACUGAUAAUGUUCUUAAAGAUAUCAUCUUCUUACAUACCAUAACUGUUCAAUUUACCAUCUCAUAACAUUCAAGACAUCAUCUUCUUAAGUACAAUACUAUACCUACAUAACAGAUUGGGUAUUUCCACCUAAAUCAUUUUUGUUCUUAUUAUAUUUUUUUCAUCAGGUACAAGUAUCAGAACAAUUAAAAAAAGUAUAAAUCGAAGGGAUCUUUACACAAGAACAAUAUGCAGUUCCUCUUUCCUUAUUCAUUAUCUUUAUUGAUGCUUAUGCUUCAAUAAUCAACAUGGCCUAACCAUGUAAUUUAUCUUGACAAUUUUUAUCAAUCACAUGCUCUGUACAAUGCACAACAAGAAAGCAGAACCAACACAAUAUAAAAUAGCAAAAUGUAUAAUUUGCUCAAAUAAUGAUUUAGCUCCACACACUCAAAUCAGAAAAACAAAAUAAUACUUCGAGCAAAUUCUUACGAACUUGUAUGUGCCUCAAGUUAAUGUCCAUUCUCCCAAGUUGGGCGAAGUUGAAAGUUGAACAUCACAUUGCUGAACAUUCUUGAAAGCUGAAUAUCACAUGAAUUCAUGAGAAUAAAAAUACCGUACAGAAGAAAAAAUCACAUAUUCUCAAAUUUCACAAAAUAAUAUAACCCCAAAUUAUUUUAGCAUGAACUCAUUAUGCAUUAAUUUGAUACCAUUUUGAGUUGGUGCUCUUAUGCUUCACGAGAAGAAAAAAAAGAAGCUAAUCUUCAUUUACAAAUUAUGUGUUGAUUCAGAAGUAGGAAAACUUCCAACUUUAGCAGCAGAGGAAAUAAUUUGUACCAAACUUUCAAUUUUAGCCUAGGAGAUAAUUCAAGAUGAUAAAAUAAUUGUAUCACAAAACUCAUCUAUUAGAACAGAUUUAAACAAAUUAGAUCUGCAAAAGUCAGACCGCAAAAUGAAUUACGAAAGAAAAAGUUUAAAAAUAAAAAAAAACAAGGUAAUACCAAACCGAUUCAAAAGACAAGCAAACCAAAAAAACUGAGAAAAUCUGAAAUCAAGCAAGACCGAGUGUUGCACAUAAUAUAAAGACUUCGAAAGUAAAAGAUUGAAGAAGAAAACUCACUACAAUACUUGAAGGGCGUGGAUACAGCCGAGUGAGAAAUGCAUAGUGAGGUUUUGAGAUUUGGGGAUUUAGGGUUUUACAACUUCGAUAGAGACGAAGGAUAUUUUUACAAAGCAGCGUCUUUUUAAUUAAAGUGUUUUGUGUGCUUUAAGUUUUUAUUUUAUUUUGUUUUUAGAGGUAAAAUAGAAGUCGCGCCUUUUUUCCCGCAUAAUUUAGAACAUUAGGGACCGUACAUUCAUAAGUUCAACGACCAGAUUAAAUCUCUUUGUGGAACAACAAGUUAAAACUGAAACUUGUGGACCAGGAAGUAAUCUCGUC